GUUAAAAAGCUCGUAGUUGGAUUUCUGACGGCCUUAGCUCAGCUCGACUCCCUGAGUCGUUGCCUGUCUGAGGUAGUCAACAUUUGGCGUGGUCCAUUGUCGGGCUUUUAUUAGCACGCACUGGCGAUCGUCUCGUUUACUUUGAGAAAAUUAGAGUGUUCAAAGCAGGCUUCGCCUUGAAUAUGUUAGCAUGGAAUAAUGACAUAGGACUUUGGUUCUAUUUGUUGGUUGUUCGAGAACUAGAGUAAUGAUUGAUAGGGACGGUUGGGGGCAUACGUAUUCCGGGGCGAGAGGUGAAAUUCUUGGACCCCCGGAAGACGAACCGCUGCGAAAGCGUUUGCCUAGGACGUUCUCUUUAAUCAAGAACGAAAGUUGGGGGAUCGAAGACGAUCAGAUACCGUCGUAGUCUCAACUAUAAACUAUGCCAGCUAGGGAUCGGCGGAUGUUUUUUGAACGACUCCGUCGACACCUUACGAGAAACCAAAGCGUGUGGGUUCCGGGGGAAGUAUGGUUGCAAAGCUGAAACUUAAAGGAAUUGACGGAAGGGGCACCACCAGGAGCGGAGCCUGCGGCUUAAUUUGACUCAACACGGGAAAUCUCACC
rnacentral:rRNA from 1 species